rnacentral:rRNA from 1 species
UGUAGGUGAACCUGCGGAAGGAUCAUUUG